rnacentral:rRNA from 1 species
GAUGAACGCUGGCGGCGUGCUUAACACAUGCAAGUCGAACGCACCUUCGGGUGAGUGGCGGACGGGUGAGUAACGCGUGGGAACCUGCCCUCAGGAGGGGGAUAACGGCUGGAAACGGCCGCUAAUACCCCAUAUGCCGAGAGGUGAAACGAAUUUCGCCUGAGGAUGGGCCCGCGUCUGAGUAGCUAGUUGGUGGGGUAAAGGCCUACCAAGGCGACGAUCAGUAGCUGGUCUGAGAGGAUGAUCAGCCACACUGGGACUGAGACACGGCCCAGACUCCUACGGGAGGCAGCAGUGGGGAAUUUUCCGCAAUGGGCAAAAGCCUGACGGAGCAACGCCGCGUGAGGGAUGAAGGCCUCUGGGCUGUAAACCUCUUUUCUCAAGGAAGAAGAACUGACGGUACUUGAGGAAUAAGCCACGGCUAAUUCCGUGCCAGCCGCCGCCGUAAUAC